UACGUAGGGGGCAAGCGUUGUCCGGAUUUAUUGGGCGUAAAGAGCGUGUAGGCGGUUUGGUAGGUCCGUUGUGAAAACUCGAGGCUCAACCUCGAGACGCCGAUGGAAACCAUCAGACUAGAGUCCGGAAGAGGAGGGUGGAAUUCCUGGUGUAGCGGUGAAAUGCGUAGAUAUCGGGAGGAACACCUGUGGCGAAAGCGGCUCACUGGACCGCAACUGACGCUGAGGCGCGAAAGCUAGGGGAGCAAACAGG
rnacentral:rRNA from 1 species